rnacentral:rRNA from 1 species
AUUGAACGCUGGCGGCAUGCUUUACACAUGCAAGUCGAACGGUAACAGGGAGCUUGCUCCGCUGACGAGUGGCGAACGGGUGAGUAAUAUAUCGGAACGUACCCAGAAGUGGGGGAUAACGUAGCGAAAGUUACGCUAAUACCGCAUACGAUUCACGGAUGAAAGUAGGGGACCUUCGGGCCUUAUGCGUUUGGAGCGGCCGAUAUCUGAUUAGCUAGUUGGUGAGGUAAAGGCUCACCAAGGCGACGAUCAGUAGCUGGUCUGAGAGGACGACCAGCCACACUGGAACUGAGACACGGUCCAGACUCCUACGGGAGGCAGCAGUGGGGUAUUUUGGACAAUGGGCGCAAGCCUGAUCCAGCAAUGCCGCGUGAGUGAAGAAGACCUUCGGGUUGUAAAGCUCUUUUGUCAGGGAAGAAACGGGAGUGGCUAAUUUCCAUUCUUAAUGACGGUACCUGAAGAAUAAGCACCGGCUAACUACGUGCCAGCCGCCGCAGUAAAAC